GUAGUCUCGCAGCAGAUGCAUAUCAAUAAGCGGAGGGAAAAGAAACUAACAAGGAUUCCCUUAGUAACGGCGAGUGAAGCGGGAAGAGCUCAAAUUUGAAAUCUUCGAGGUUUUACCUUGACGAAUUGUAGUUUAAAGAAGUGUUUUCUGUUGAAGUUUUGGUAAAAGUUCUUUGGAAUAGGACAGUCAUAGAGGGUGAGAAUCCCGUAUUUGACCAUUAUUUUCAGCUGUGUGAUACACUUUCAAAGAGUCGGAUUGUUUGGGAAUGCAGUCCAAAAUGGGUGGUAAAUUUCAUCUAAAGCUAAAUAUUGGCGAGAGACCGAUAGCGAACAAGUACCGUGAGGGAAAGAUGAAAAGAACUUUGAAAAGAGAGUUAAACAGUACGUGAAAUUGUCAAAAGGGAAGCGUUUGACACCAGUGUUGUUUUCUCGAAAAUCAAUUAAAAAGAGUUAGAUUUUGUUGUGUAUUGACCUUAACAGCUUGCAUUUCAACUUUCUUGCUUUUUUUAAUGCACUUUUCGUUUAACAAGUCAACAUCAGUUUCUUUUGUUGUAAAAAGGUCAUUGGAAGGUGGCUUUCUUUUCGGAGAAAGUGUUUAUAGCCUUUGACUCCUGCAAUCGGAGAGACUGAGGUCUGCAGCGUAGAUCCUUCGGGGUUAGAUACAUUUGUGCUAAGUUAUAGCUUUUUAUAGACAACUUGUUGACUAUGAUUAGUCUUGUAGCUUACUCGCUUAUGCUAUUUUACCUACGCUUAGGAUGUUGAGCGCAUGUCUCUCUCU
rnacentral:rRNA from 1 species